CCGGCACGGGUGAGUAACACGUGUGCAAUCCACCUGUAACAGGGGGAUAACCCGGAGAAAUCCGGACUAAUACCCCAUAAUAUGGGCGCUCCGCAUGGAGAGCCCAUUAAAGAGAGCAAUUUUGGUUACAGACGAGCAUGCGCUCCAUUAGCCAGUUGGCGGGGUAACGGCCCACCAAAGCGACGAUGGAUAGGGGUUCUGAGAGGAAGGUCCCCCACAUUGGAACUGAGACACGGUCCAA
rnacentral:rRNA from 1 species